CGUAGGGUGCGAGCGUUAAUCGGAAUUACUGGGCGUAAAGCGUGCGCAGGCGGUUUUGUAAGACAGAUGUGAAAUCCCCGGGCUCAACCUGGGACCUGCAUUUGUGACUGCAAGGCUAGAGUACGGUAGAGGGGGAUGGAAUUCCGCGUGUAGCAGUGAAAUGCGUAGAUAUGCGGAGGACCACCGAUGGCGAAGGCAAUCCCCUGGACCUGUACUGACGCUCAUGCACGAAAGCGUGGGGAGCAAACAGGAUUAGAUACCCUGGUAGUCCACGCCCUAAACGAUGUCAACUGGUUGUUGGGUCUUUACUGACUCAGUAACGAAGCUAACGCGUGAAGUUGACCGCCUGGGGAGUACGGCCGCAAGGUUG
rnacentral:rRNA from 1 species